GACGAACGCGGCGGCGUGCUUAACACGUGCAAGUCGAGCGGGCCUGUCUUCUUUUUUGGGGGUGGGUUGAGUGGCGAACGGGUGAGUAUCACGUGAGUAACCUGCCCUUCGGUCCGGAUAACCGCUUGAAAGGGCGGCUAAUACGGGGUGGUCCGGUUGGUCCGCAUGGGCUGGUCGGGAUAGAUUCACUGUUUUUGGUGUUUCGGCGGGGGAUGGGCUCGCGGCCUAUCAGCUUGUUGGUGGGGUGAUGGCCUACCAAGGCGGUGACGGGUAGUCGGCCUGAGAGGGUGGGCGGCCACACUGGGACUGAGAUACGGCCCAGACUCCUGCGGGAGGCAGCAGUGGGGGGUAUUGCACAAUGGGCGGAAGCCUGAUGCAGCGACGUCGCGUGAGGGAUGGAGGCCUUCGGGUUGUGAACCUCUGUUUCCGGUGGUGAAGGCCCUGCCCCUGGUGGUGGGGUUGACG
rnacentral:rRNA from 1 species